rnacentral:rRNA from 1 species
UAACGCGUGAGAACCUGCCUUCAGAAUGGGGACAACAGUUGGAAACGACUGCUAAUACCCAAUGUGCCGAAAGGUGAAAGAUUUAUCGUCUGAAGAUGGGCUCGCGUCUGAUUAGCUAGAUGGUGGGGUAAGAGCCUACCAUGGCAACGAUCAGUAGCUGGUCUGAGAGGAUGAGCAGCCACACUGGGACUGAGACACGGCCCAGACUCCUACGGGAGGCAGCAGUGGGGAAUUUUCCGCAAUGGGCGAAAGCCUGACGGAGCAAUACCGCGUGAGGGAGGAAGGUCCUUGGAUUGUAAACCUCUUUUAUCAGGGAAGAAAAAAAUGACGGUACCUGAUGAAUAAGCAUCGGCUAACUCCGUGCCAGCAGCCGCGGUAAUACGGAGGAUGCAAGCGUUAUCCGGAAUUAUUGGGCGUAAAGCGUCCGUAGGUGGUUUUGCAAGUCUGCUGUUAAAGAAUGGAGCUUAACUCCAUAAGAGCGGUGGAAACUGCAAGACUAGAGUACAGUAGGGGUAGCAGGAAUUCCCAGUGUAGCGGUGAAAUGCGUAGAUAUUGGGAAGAACAUCGGUGGCGAAAGCGUGCUACUGGGCUGAAACUGACACUGAGGGACGAAAGCUA